rnacentral:lncRNA from 1 species
ACUUCUAAACCAAGGUCGCUGAACACCUGUCUCGAGCCUUGGCUGCCAGAUCUGUCGAUUAACCAUAUAAUGCCGCUGUCGGAGACACGAAGACGCUAAAUAUUGAAUCUAACCAUAAAAGCUGUUGCAGGUCGCAGAUCUGGGGCGGUGGUUAGGAGUGGUGCGAUGGUGGUGGUUGGGAGUGGUGCGGUGGACAACGAUGGAUGGCAGUGGGGAAUCGUGGUUAUUGGUGGUGGUUGGUGAUGGUGUGAAGAGGUAGAGGUAGAGAGAGAGGAAGAGGGGUCAAGAUAGGUUCUGUAUUAUUUAUUUAUAUCUAAUAUAUUAUACAAUAUUAAUUUCUU